AAGGUUAUCUGCUUUUCUUAGCAUGAAAACAGGCACCACUUCUUUCCUGUUCAACAGCUUCUAUAAGAUGGACUCAGACCCUGAAGUCACUACAGGAUUUGAUGUUUCAGUCUGGCCAGAUCGGGCUUGUUCAGAGAACCGGUCAGCAUGGUCUGGUGGCCUGCAGACUAGCAUCUAGGUUUGUUUACAAACGGCAAAAAACCCACAUGGUAGAGCACGUUCUGGGCUUCGUUUCCAUGCACGAGGAACUCUGUCUUGUCCGUGUUGCCUGUCUGGAGGGGAUGUACAGAGGAUUGAUCAGAAACACUGUUCAUAGGCCAAAGCGAGAGAAAGGACACUGUUCACCCACCCGCCACCUUCCAUGGGCCUUUGUGGGAUUCUAGGACUAUCAGGGACUGUCUGGGAAGGAAAACUCGUUCCGCCACUGCCCCCAAGAAGGGACCACCUGGGCUCACAGUCACCGCUCACCGAACAUUCCUAUAGUUCUUCCAGGUUAUGCAUUUUUGUGAUCACUUAACUAUCUUUUCGGAUAACCAAUCAAAUCCAUAAAGACAUGUUACCAGCAAGGACUUGUCCCAAAAUCUGACAUUUGCCCCAGACCUCUUCUUCCUGCCUCGUCCUUCAUACUGACCCAUUAGUAACGCCCCCCAAAGCACUGACCAACCCAGGACAGGUGGUUUGCCCAGUUAUCAUGGGUGCCUCAUGGACAGUCCAGCCAGCUUUCCCUCAGCAGGGAGCUUCAUUUUGUCAACAGAGCUGGACUGGGAAGAGCCUGGAUCAUGGGUUUGGGCUGUGUGUCCACCGGCUACCAUCUUGGGAGGGCCGGUGGCAGACGCCAGGAGCUGGCCGGCAUCAGGGUGCAAUCUGGUAGCCACCGAAAAGACCCUCAUCCUCGGAGGGUCUGUGAGCCCACAGACACCUGCUUCCUUUGGCUCGCCUUGGCUGGGUGCAUUUCCGGCAGAGAAGAGUGGGAAACGGACCGGUGGUUGAGAGCUGAUAGAGGGAGGAAAGGGUCUUUGGUGCUGGAAUGAGAUAUUUGUGAGCCCCUGUGUACAAACAGACAAAUGCUGGCCUUGUGAACAACAUUGCUGGAGAACACGACUCAAGUGUCACUGUUGCCUGAAGCAUUCCAGUGGGAGAUGACGGUGGAAUGGGCCUGCCAGUGCUGCUCUGCACGUAAAAGGGAAGAUUAAAAGGAGCAAAUGGCCAGGAAGGCAAAGUGGACCGUGUAAUGAGGCAGAAGAUGUGAGGGGUCAGGAUGUGAGAGGGAAAGCCAUUGAUGGGGAUUGCUGAGGACGGGGCACUCCCGGGGAUGAGAGCUAUGGUAGCGGUUCUUGGACCCUUUCCAUGUCUGUGCUCUUGGCCUACUGCCUUCUAUAUGGAUUCGUGAGACCAAGAAGCAAAAGGAAGGAAGAAGGGCUUCUCAGCAGAAAUGCCCCCAAAACAAAGACUUUCUGCCACCAGCAGAGCUGCAGCUGGGGCUGGGGGACACUUGCCACUCCUCCCUGCCUCAUAAUCACGACUUUCUCACUCAAAGACUGUCCAUCUGUCCAUCCAUUCCGCCAAGGCCCAGAGCCCCAUGCUGAUUUCCUUUGGAAGAGCCCCAGCUCCCGGAGUGGCCUCGGCAACAGCAGGGCCCACAGACGGCUCCAAGCCCAAGCUUCCCAUCACAGGCAAGGGUUGGCCUGGUCCGUGGAAGUUAAAAUAACACACUGGCUGUUUAUGAGCAAGAGCCCUCAAUAAAGUCAUAGGUUGGUUCUCUAGGCAGCGUGUCUAAUCUUCUCUGGC